AUUAGCUGAGUCCUUGGAUCUGAACCUCUAAGAAGGUACCAUCUCCUACCUGGUCUGCAUGGCUAUUACAUCUAGAAGUGGCAGUGCAGCAGAAGAGGGUGUGGCCAUCUUCCUGCUGUUGAUGAAAUGCCUGAGGACCCAGGAGCCCCAAGGAAAAGGAAAGUCUGGAGAGCUACCAUGCCUAUGCAGGUGACGUCGGCCUCUGAGACGACUCCUAUCCUGUGGGUGCUGUGACAGUUCCCUGGGCCACUGGAAUUACCAGGUCAGUCCCCCAUGUUCCUCCUCCAUGGGAAAAUCUUUUGGAGCUUCUCCCCAGGCCUCAGCAAAAAUGCCGAGAUUACCACAGAAGAG
rnacentral:lncRNA from 1 species